AUUUCAGCUGAUGAAGACCAUGCCAAAAAAUUGUGCAUAGAGGGUAUGCACAUGCUUGAGGAGCAGUGGAUGGAGAGAGGCCCAUCAACAUCAGGCCACCUAAGACACACAUCAGGUUCUGCUUUAUGUUGGAUGCUACAUUCCCCAAGCAGGGAGGACAGACCUGAUGAUAAAGACUGUGCCAGGAAUUGGGCAUUGUGCAUCAAGUGAAUGCACAGGCCGGAGGAACAGUGGAGGGAGAGAGAUCAUGGGAUCCAUGGCUGCUCUCCUAGCAGAAGCCAGAGAUGAGAAUAUGUGAGACCACUGCUUGAGUACUCAUAGACUGAGGAUGAUAGCCAUAAUGGGGUUGAUGAUGACAGUGAGGACAGAUCUGGACCUGCACAUCCCAUCAUUCCAGCAGCACCCUGCAGGAGAUGUCGACCACCAGCAAAGGCACACAAUUUUGUGAACCAGUUCAGGGAGGUUAUGAGUGAUAUCUUUUGGACUCAGAUGAGGGACCUGAUGUGGACUUUUUUCCAUGACAUUGUGAAGGCCAUCAGUGAAUAAUUUAGGGAACUACCCUACAAGAUCAUUUGUGAUGUUCUGCUCUGUCAGUGUGGGCCCUCAGGACUGUAUGUAUUGUCUGUGUGAUCCACCUGUGUACUGCCGCCACCAUGGUAUAUACCAUAUGAACAAUUGUAUUGUAUAGGCACACUUGUCCAUGCAUAGCAUAUUGUUGUCAUGCUUAGGUGAUACACAUCCAAUGGUACAAUGCAGAUGUCAUGUGGCAUUUUGUAUUAUGUUGCACCUGGAACAUGCCAAAAAUUAUGCCAUUAAAAAUACACUACUCUUG